UACGUAGGUGGCAAGCGUUGUCCGGAUUUACUGGGCGUAAAGAGCGCGCAGGCGGUCAGAUAAGUCGAAUGUGAAAGCCCCCGGCUCAACUGGGGAGGGUCAUUCGAUACUGUUCGACUCGAAGGCAGGAGAGGGAAGUGGAAUUCCCGGUGUAGUGGUGAAAUGCGUAGAUAUCGGGAGGAACACCAGUGGCGAAGGCGACUUCCUGGCCUGUUCUUGACGCUGAGGCACGAAAGCGUGGGGAGCAAACAGG
rnacentral:rRNA from 1 species